CCGCAGUCAGUCCGUAACCUGGUCUGGGAACUUGGGGCUAGUCCACGCCAAUAGAGGAACAAUGCCUCCUCAGUUCAAGUCCAACAAAAGACCUGGCGAACUUGUUUGAAUUUCAGAGCACGUCCUUUCUUUCACAGAGAGGACUGCCCCCUCCCGAACACCCUUCAUGAAAAAAAAAGAAAGAAAGAAAAGGAAAGAAAGGGGGGGAAAACAUGCCGACCUUCUCUGCUCAACAGUGCACUUUUCUAUUUGGUGCUGCAGACAAAUAGGUUAUGGGAAACUUCUCAACCCCUCCUCUCUCUCUCUCCCCCCCUCUCACUGGCUCUCGCUUAUACGGUAGCUGUCGUUCUCGUGCGCUUGGACUGUGCUCUUGUGAGAAUCAGAGCCGCUGAGACACGCGUAAUGAACUGAGUAUUAGCGGCAAUUUUAAAUCGAAAGCGCUCUGUGCACGCCGGUUUCUUACCAACAGCAGGAGUUGCAUCUGGUCACGUCGACUUCGGCAUAAUAAUAAAAAAAAACAACAAAAAAAAAAACCUUUGCUCAAGCUACGUUAUGCGAACAGCAAAAAGGAUCGCCUCUUCAGCCUGCACGAGGGAUGCAAACGCACUCUGGAGAUUUCUAAUGACAUCAUCAUCAUCAUCAUCAUCAUCAUCAUCACCUUGCACUCCCGUGGUCCGAGACCUUUGACCUUCUCUAGCUGGUCCAUAUUUUGGUAUUGGAAGCCCGUCCCCCCGCUUACCCCCUCCACCCCCCCACUCCUCGAGAUGUGGCCCUGUUCCCUCUCUCAGACCGCUGGCAGCAGCAACACAAUCCUCCUCUCGUCUCUCUCAUAGCAGCUCUCAGGGAUCUGUGGCAUUGCCGAUCUCCUCCGUGCACGGACAACCUGCCACCCCUCGGCCAAAAAUAAAAGAGAGAUCUCUCCAUUCAGUGCCGAAACAAACGCGAUGUUAUUUCCGUGUGCACUUUUUUCCUCUGGAAUCGGAUUUUUCCUUUGUAUAAUCUCGCUGCUGGUUCCGUGGGAUAUCUAUCGCUGCUGCCACGAUUUAAUAGAGCCAAAGGAGCCUUUUGUGAGAUUGGGAGUGAUGCUUCUGAGGAACUGCGUUGCUCUUUGAAGUGAGGAAGGAAGGUUGAGAGAGCUCUCUCUCCAGCACAUGCCUCCCUCAUUAGUGUCCAGCAGAUGAAGACGCAAGGUCACAAACCCAAUGAGCUGCCCAUUUCAUUCAGUUUUCCCGAAAUGGAAAGAUGACCACUGUGACCUAAUGUUGCAGUACGGUCUGACAGCACAUUGUACACAACAUAUAAAGUAGCUUGAAUAACCCUUGAACCUUGUGUGGAGUGCAUUAUUUUUUAUGAAAUUGCUAUAGUGUCCAACUUUUCAACAUGCUUGUAGAUUUUAUUCAUUCAAUAAAUUGUGAAUUUUCCUAAAAAGGGAACAGGUCUUGUGAUUUAUUUGCUGAACUGUGGGUGAUGAAAUAUUUAAUAUCCUGGGUAUUAAAAUGAUCAGUCUCGGAUCCAUUGAGAGGGUUGACAUGGUUGAAUCAGUACCACACUAAGGAACUGCUGCACAGGGAAUUAUUGCUUCUGUCUGAACAUGUCACCUCUACAAUAUUUCUAUGAUUAUAAUGUACAAUUAUCCUUUCUUUUCGUUUUCUCUGGCUUGUCAUUGUUGAAACAUUUCACACACACAAUAUGAAAGAACAAUAAAGUCUAGACUCAAUGUCAUUGCUUGGAUUUGAUUUAUACACUUAAGUAUUUCACAUGCAUAAUGCAAAGUAGCUCUCACACUUCACGUUUUGUUCUUCAAACAGUUUAGCCCACAUAAUGUGACUAAGGUAAAAUGAGCAAGACAAAUUUCAUGUUUUAAUGUCCCAGAAAAGCUGGUUGUCUGUUUUCUCUGAAUUGCAUCAGGAAGUGGUCAAGAUGCACGAAUAAAGCUACUUUGGUCUGGAAAUGAGAGUUCAUAUAUUCUGCUCUUUCUGCAUGUGUCACAAAGAGUUGAUCACAUGGGAGUCUAAAAGAACACCUGAACACAAAGCCAGGCAUUGUGUGUCGUUCUGACCUCAGUGUCAUGUGACUGUGUCAUGGCCAGGUGUUGCAUGUAUCUGGAGCAGAAAAGAUGUUUUGCUCUUAAGACCAAACCAAACAAACUAAAGGAACAGAGAGGAAAGGAAAUAUGGGAUAACAUCGAAAUAAUAAAAUGUAUUGAGAGUGUGAAUUACAUGUGUUUACGUGGGAUUCGAACAUGCUAUUAGUAUCAUUAUUUAUAUUACAUUUAUUACAUUUCAUGGAAAGAAACAUUAAGAUUUAAAAUUGGGAAGUAUCAUGUAAUCAUGCUCUAUUUAUAGGUCAUUUAUCAAAUUUGUUACAUUGAGCAUGAUGAUCUGAAAUGUUCUUGCUUCCAUUGAAGCUCAACAUGCUCUUUGAAUCAUGUAUGCUGAAUAUUGAAUCAUCUGGUUUAACACAAUAUUGAGUCCAUUUUUUUAAUCAACUUUUCAACUCUAAAAUAUUGUAAUAAACAUUAAUUUAACGACUUAAGGUGUAACAUAAAACCCUAUUGAUACUGAAAAACUAUGCAGAAACCAUUAUUUGAACAAAUAAUGAGCUGUGAGCUGUCACAGAGUUUAUGGUUUCUCACUGCAAACUAUGACUUGUUUUUUGUUUUGUUUUUUAUGUAGCAAAAAUGCUACAUUUAACAGCAUUUUGCUGUAAAAUUUUAUGAAAUGUACGGUUAGAUGUAUUAAAGUUUUUUUUUUUUUUAAUUAUUUUAUUUUAUUUUAUUUUAUUUUAUUUUAUUUUAUUUAAAAAAGGAAUAAACACAGAAUGAUUUCUGCAGAGUUAGGACAUAGAAUGUAAGGUUUGUACAGUAUAAAAAUAAUUUUGUUUAUGGCGAGUUCUCAUAAAACACAAAAACCCAACCUGUGUGUCUCACAUCAGUCCCAUGUGAAAUCCAGCUAAUAAAGAACAUUGUUAACUGGCUUGAAGCAUUCACAAACCCUCCAGCAGUUGUUUUACUUCCAAAGACCAGUAUUUUAGUUUAUUCAGUAGCUCAAGACACCCUCUCGGACAUCUGACGAACACAUGAAUUCACCAUCUCAGUUGUUUCAGUCCAAUCCUUCAGAUUAAUGAUCCCAGACUCGUAAUCUAUAACGCAGAGAUGGAAAAUAAUGUAGAAUUACAAAUGACGGGCAGAGGUAGAAUCUGAUUAGGCAUAUUGAUUGACUGAUGUCCAUUGUAAAUCUAUGAUGACUGAUGUUCCAUCUUCAGUUAUGAAACACAGUUUUAGAGUAGAUCUUCCCAGAACAAUGGCACCGGCCGCUUCAACUCCACGGCACAAUUGAAUUGUCUGUAAGCACAUAGAACCACAAAAAGCCCUGCUAGCUUUGCUUUAGAAUCACUUACGAAUGAUCCGAAAUCAGACACAAACAAUGAAACUCAAUAUACUUUUUGUUGACAUUUGAAAUUUAGAGAAAAGAAAAUAAAGUGAGAGUGCUUUUAAGGCCAAAGAAAGUGACCUUGGUGAGGCCAGCGAGAGGUAUCUAGCUUUAAAAACUCCAUUACUUACUCCAGGACUUGCACUCUCUCUCUUUUCUUGCUUUAAGAAAGAGGAAAGUACUGCGCAGUAUUUCACCUUUAUCUCCCGAUAGCAGGUCUUUGUGUUAUCUUAAUCUUAUUGGAAAGAAGGGAGAAACAAGAAGGAGGGGAAAAGCCUCCAAGGCGAGAUACACCACGCACUCCCCACGGAUGGUGAGAUACCAAACACUUCCUUUCCGAACUUUCCACACUUUCAUGCUAAAGGAGAUGAGAGCCAGUUGCAUUGUAAAGGGAGCUUCUUUUGUAUUUCUCUACAGACAAAUAGAAGGAUACAUCUGAAAAGCAGAGCAUAUGCUGCCGCACGAGGUGUACGCGCGCCUGCAUGUGUGCGUUUGUGUAUAUGUACUCGCGCAGAGCCGGGCUGAAUAGCACAAAGAGAACUUUUAAAGAGAGAACUGUGACAUAUUCCCAGAGUGUCUGUCUGCCAGUCAGAAUUCCCAAGCAUGCUGGGUGAUGUCCUCCAAAGCACAGAUCUACCUGUGCAAGAGGCCCCUGUGACAGAACACAUGCAGCACUGAUUUUCACAGAUGGGUUGAAGUGGCCUGUGAGGUUUCUCUCUCUCUCGCUUCAAACUGAGAAAGACAAGUUUUGGGCCACACUAAAACUGUAGCAGGUUUUAGUUCGUAGUUAGUAUUUAUUUAUUUUUUAGCCUUGGCACCACAAUCUGACUCUGAACACAACGGGUUUCACUCAUAAUCACAAGCAGACACAGUGUAAACCACCUGUGAAAUGUUAUAACAAUAUGAUCAUUUACAUAAAAAUGUUUUUACAAAAGGUAUGCACAUAAUGUUUUGAGCAAGCUCCGAAUGAAAAUAAUCUGAUUAUGUAUUUUGUGUGGUGUGUUUGUGGUCAAUACAUAGGCCUGAGCUCAGACGCAAGUACAGUUCCUCACUCUGCGUGUUUGAAUUGAUAUGGUUGUUUAUUGUUACAAAACUACAUUUGGUGAGUGUAAAAUGUUUAUAUUGGUCAAUAAGAGGCUAGCUGAAGCCUUGCAUCCUGUGAUUUAUUUCUGGUUUGCUGAGUUUUUUAUGAGGACUGUGACAAGCUAGGCAAAAUAACAGACAAUGGUAGUUGAAUUUCUGGAAAAUAAGCAGUGAAGGGAGGCAUGCAAUUACAAGUAUGGGAAAGCAUUAUUUCUAAAUAUAUGAUAAAAACCUCAUGUUUCUGCCUUCAAUUUAACAUCACAUAUUCACAUUCAUCUCACAAUUAAAAAUAAGACACAGAAAUGACUGUGAAUGGCUCAGGAAAGUGAUUUUUUUUUAAUAAUGAGUUUGGACUGUAGUAUCUGUAUCUCAUCUGGCUAUCCCACUGCUCUGAGAGGCCCUUUCUUCUCCCAGCAUGCCUUGAGGCAGUGUGGUUUAAACAAGUGGAGUGCUUUUUGCUUUUUAUCUGAUACAGAACUAACAGUCAAAGCAUUAUUGUUUCAUGAGACCUAACAAAACUGAUGGAUGAAAAGCCGAAACAGAGGGCAAGUUAAUGUUGUUCUUUUUUUCCUGUAAAGAUAAUUUCAAUUGCAAACUUUAAAAUAUGUUGCAUAGAGUUGGGAAACCUCUUUGGACAAGACUAAACACUGAAACUCAUCACAAUUUCUGUUUGAAAAGAAACGAAAAACAGGAAAGGCAUCAAUAAGAUUUUUAAACCAGAUGUUGGAGGGGUUUUGAUUUGGUAAUGAGUGAUUUCUAAGGCCAAGUAUAUAUUAAACAGUUGAUUGAAUUAAACAUUGCUCCUUGUUUAACGAACGCAUGGCUAUGCUUUCAUUUAAUAACUGUUGUUUCUGACACAAAGGAAUUGUAAGACUUGUAAUACAUAAAGACUUCUUUGGGCUGCUUUUAUGAAACCUGUAUGAUGAUUUUGCAUCAUUUUUGAAGCUUAAAUAUUAAAUUUCCAUUCACUGUAAUUGCAUGGAAAAGAUAGACCAGUAUCAUUUUCAGAAUUUUAUUUUUGUGUUUUAUGGAAGAAUGAAUGUUAAACAGGCUGAAUAAUAAUGCAAAAGCAACUUAUUUGGCAUGGUAAAAGACAAUAAAUAAAUAAAUUACCUUCGUCAGUUGCUCUGGUAUUUCUGCACAAGAAAUGCAUCG
ensembl:lncRNA